rnacentral:rRNA from 1 species
AUGGGGGAAGAUGGCAUGGCUUCAGCAGAAACAGAGAAAUCUAGGGGGCUGGGCGUAUUGAUGGUGCGCAACACCCUCUCUUAUUGGUGCAUUGAAGUGAAUGGCGGCCGACGACUAGGCGAUGACUUCACUCUCUCUAACAAAGACCACCCCCUGCUAUCCAAUAUUGCGAAGAGCUUGAAAGGUCAACUACAACGAAAGCAAACUAAAAGAUUACAUGACCCAGAUUAUGAUACGCUCAACGUCAGGCUUGCAAACAGUGUUCUACACGCCAAUUGUCGCAUCAUGCUAGGAACCGACAAGAGAGCCACGGUAACAACCAACUGGUCUAAGUUCCGCCGUCUUGCAAAAAUUCAUGAAGGAGACAUUUGUGCAUUUCGUUUCAAGGUCACCACAAAGCAGUGCCUGGUUCUCAUCAUGCAUUGCCUUUAG